AACUUUCGGCAAUGGAUCACUUGGUUCUGGCAUCGAUGAAGAACGCAGCGAAAUGCGAUAAGUAAUGUAAAUUGCAGAAUUCAGUGAAUCAUCGAAUCUUUGAACGCACAUUGCGCCCUUUGGCAUUCCGAAGGGCAUGCCCGUUCGAGCGUCAUUAAAUCCAAUCAAGCCCGGCUUGGUAUUGGGCAUCGGGGCCUCCCGUGCCUCAAUUUCACCGGCUGGCCGUCGCCCGUCUUAGCGUUGUGACACACUUCUCGCUAGCGACAGGAGGCGGACCACGCCGUUAACACCCCCCAAAUUUCUACGGAAAUUUGAUUAAGGUUGACCUCGGAUCGGGUAGGAAUACCCGCUGAACUUAAGCAUAUCAAUAAGCGGAGGCU
rnacentral:misc_RNA from 1 species